UAGCGGUACUUUUAGUUUAUGGUUAACGAAGCUUGUUGGCCAUUAGCCAAUCAGCGUUUCUCAACGAGUUCAAAGCAUGUGAAUGCAUCCAAUUACCACUUCACAACUGGGUAAUUACCACCUUCCCACUUGGUGAUGAACAUAGCAAUAGCAGCCAAACAGACAGCAAUGCUGGGACCACCUCUGUGCACUUUGACCUAUUGACCUGUCUGUUUCUCUUCUAUGAUUGGACGUAAGGAGAGUGACUGCAGUAGGUCUCUAUGAAGGAACAUUAGGAGAGGAGUAGUGUUGCACUCUGAAUGAGAGUGCCGCUGAGGACGGACAGUGACUCUUAUCAUACAUGUAUGUGAUACAAUGAUGCGUACGGUCCUAUAAUAUGAUACUGUAUGGUACUUUAUCCUACAAUAUCUGAUAUAUAUGGCACUCUUUGAUAAGGUACUGUAUGAUACUAUGGUACUAUACGGUAUGAAAUACUAUGGUACUUUAUGAUACUCUUUAUCUGAAUGUGGCAUUAGCCAUGUCUUUACCAGCAGAUUGGGGGUGGUGAUUGGUUAAUAUGAUACUGUGCAGCUCUGAUGAUUUUUGCCUUCUCUAAUGAAGCUAGUUAAAGACCACCUUACUUACCCCUCUCACCCUUUAUCCCUCACCCUUCAGACCCACAGGAUCUAAGACCAGUAACUCACCCUACCCACUAACCCCUGUCCUCACCCCUAGCCCUUCUCCACCUGCCCUGUCCUGGGCAGAGGUACUUUAAAGGCAAUAUGUUGGACUGAGCUUCUCUGGCUGUAGGUCUCUACAGCUAUGGUCUGGCUGUAGGUCUCUACAGCUAUGGUCUGGCUGUAGGUCUCUACAGCUAUGGUCUGGCUGUAGGUCUCUACAGCUAUGGUCUAACUGUACAUAGGAACAUACUCCACUUUCACCCACCUUUUACUCCUGGGAAUACAGCCCCUCUACAUGUACUGGUUUAUAUCAUAUAGAAGUGUUGUACAAUAGACCAUAAACGUUGGGAUUGUUGUUUUAUAACCAAAAAUAGACCUGGAUGUGACUCAAGACCUGUUUGUUUUCAGACUGAAAGAACCACAUGUAUUCAUUCAUUUAUUUUGUGUAUGAGAAGGCCAUCACAUACAUGGGAAUAUCAGGCGUGUUUGACGAAACCUUGGUUUUAAUGCACUAUAUAAACAUUCACUUACAUUUAAUCAAAGUCAGCACUUACAUGCUUGUUCUAGCCUUAUGUUUUGGCAUUGACUUCAAUGGUGAAUAUCCAUUCAGAAACGUGCAUUAAUUUAAUCAAUUUGAAUAUGCAGGACACUCAGCCAAUGGCGUCAAACCUAAGCCCAAGCCUGAGACUUGAUUGGACAGUGAAGCUGGAGGAGGGCUAAUGAUCAGCAUUUGUAGUGAGUGUGUGGUACUCUGAUGAUUCUGUCUGAGUAAUGGUAGAAAAAUAACAUAACACAAAAUUAAGUAUUGGAAUAGGAAAAACAAAGUCUCAAAAAUAUGUGUGUUUCACAGACUUGUCAGGUGUGGGGUUGUCGGCAUUAUCAAUCUGCAGCUAAACACACUAGCUAGCAAUCAUCUCUUCAGUAUUUCAGAAAAUACCAGUGGGUCAGUAUUUCAUUGGGACCUGUGUCUAAUGUAAACUUGGGAAGCCUCUCCUCUCUCUGUGAGGUUAUUGUCAACUCCAGCAGUUCUGCACGUGCCUUAUGUUUGUUUCUUAAACCAUCACAUCUCAUUUUGGGGGAAUUCAAAAUGGCGGAGAAGUUACUGAGAUUGAAACCACGUACUUAUGAUUGUGCAUUUAUGACACGUGUGUCUUAGCCACCACAACACGGGCACUACCUGUGUCCCUUUGCAGCCAUACGUACAACAGGCCUGAUUCCAUUUCAGUUCCAAGCCCCUUGUGCUCACCCUGGCUCUUUGGAGUGAACAGAUGUGAAAAGGCUUGGUUGAGCACUAUGGGAAAGAAAGGUGGAUCCAUCACCAUGUUGCAUACACUAUUACACACAUCCAGUCCUUUCAUGUCUGAGCGCUGCCAGGAAAAGGGGCCCUGAACUUAAAUGGAACCAGGCCCCGGGCUGUGGACAGGCUGUGCCAGGGGAGUUGUAUUGGGAGCCAUGCUGUCUUAUGUAGUUGUUUGCUAUGCAUCAGGUCUGGCCUGGGCUGUCUGAGGAAUCCACCCUUCCACAAAGACAAAUAAGUGUCUUAUUUACCCAAUAAAACAUGAAGUCAUGUAACCAGAAGUGUGAAUAAUAUCAGUAAUAAUUUGUAAAGUGUUGUGCAGAAAGUGACUAUCAUUUCAUGUCAACUUUAGUGACUGCAGCUCCCUGCAGUGCUGCCUUAAUCAGAAGUGAAGCUCCAGUACUGAAGUGUUUGUCUGUUGUAAAUAGUGUCUGUUCUGUUGUGUUCUGCCUGCAUGGAUACAAUCUGGGCUCAGUUAUGUACGCUGGGAUAGCCUAAACCUAAACCCAUCUUAGACCACAUUUUACAUUAGAACCAGCAAGACCCCAUAAGUCAGUCUAUCCAUCCAUCAAUUAGAACAUUCAUAGCAAGGUUGAGAUCCCAGGGCCUGUGUUAGUGACUCUCAUUGCACUUCAGCCAAGACCAUGAACCCUCAUUGGCUAGCAGCUAUACUCCCCUGAGCCAAUGGGUACCUAGUGCAGCAGUGUGUGUGGGACGUGCUCAGAGGGCAUUACCAAAAAUACACCUGUCCUUGUCAGUGUGUGUGUCAGCUCACACACUGCGCAGAGACUGAGCCUGAACUGGAUCUCCUAACCAAACUACACCUUUCACAGGAGGCCUGGAUCUCUCUAAACCUGUCUAGGGUCUGAGUGUGGUCUAGUUGUAGUCUAGGUUUGGUCUAAGGGGUCUAGAUGUAGUCUAGGUUUUGUCUAAGGGGUCUAGGUUUGGUCUAAGGGGUCUAGAUGUAGUCUAGGUUUGGUCUAAGGGGUCUAGAUGUAGUCUAGGUUUGGUCUAAGGGGUCUAGAUGUAGUCUAGGUUUGGUCUAAGGGGUCUAGAGGUAGUCUAGGUUUGGUCUAAGGGGUCUAGAUGUAGUCUAGGUUUGGUCUAAGGGGUCUAGAUGUAGUCUAGGUUUUGUCUAAGGGGUCUAGGUUUGGUCUAAGGGGUCUAGAUGUAGUCUAGGUUUGGUCUAAGGGGUCUAGAUGUGGCCUAGGUUUGGUCUAAGGGGUCUAGAUGUGGUCUAGGUGUGGUUUAAGUGGUCUAUAGACUUCAGGCUUGGAUGCUCAAUAUUCCAUGGUCGGUCUCUGAUGUUUGAGUUAAAGCCACUAGGAUCUGUCUGUUUCUCUCUCUACCAGCCGAUGUUCCGGUGCCUUCUACAGCUGACUCCUGAUCCUCUGCUUUAACUCUACAUGAGACCCACCGCGUGGUCCAGUACGGUCCCGUACGGUCAAGUUGGGUUUUACGGUCCUUGUUAUGUACUGGAUGCUGUAUUCACUCUGAUCCAACUGUAUGACUGGUAUGACUCCAGGUAGAAGUUUACCCAACCCUAAAUCCCAAUCUUCAUCAUCAGGGGGAUGAAGGAACAUCUGGUUCUGGAUCAGUGGUUAGGGAAGACUUCUACCUCUACACUGAGACCAGUCUGACCAGUCCAAUACAGCCACUGGAGCUGAAUCAUACCGCAUGCGUCUCAAAUCACACCCUACGUAGUGUACUACUACAGAACCUGUUCAAAAGCAGUGCACUAUAUGGAGAAUAUGGAGUCAUUUGAGAAGCAGCCACAGUCUCUACUAAUAUGUGUAGUCAUUAACAUAUAUGUUAUGUUUCCAAGCUUUAAUGUUGUUCAACGCUGAACAUGCAGAUGAAGCAUCGAUGAGGAAACCAAUAAAUGUACUUUGCAAGAGCACAAAAUUAGCUCUUAACUGUGUUGGCAUAAUUUAGUUUGUAUACAUUGUGUAUUUGAACCUUUUUACUAGAGUGGGUUUUCCUUAAUUUGCAUGCUCGACUUGAUUGUAUGCAUAAAGAUUUUAGACAAGCGGAGAAGUUGACUUUCAGUUGCAUUUGGAGCAAGACUUGUACAUUGUUUGAUAUGUUUGUUUUUGUAAUGGAUUUUUAAUUCAUAAAGCAUUUUUGUACAUUGUAUGAAUAUUAAAAAUGGCAAAUAUUUGACAUAUAGAAAUAAGUAAAUACUUAGAUGCUCAUGCAUAUGCAUAUAUCCUUAGUAUGUAUGUGUAAAUGUACACAUAUUUUGUAUUUGCCUUCGCUCAUAUACAGAUAUGUCAUAUGCAGAUAUACAUGCAAUAUGCUGUAUAUGUAUAGCCAUGUCUGCUGGCAUGCAUCUGGUCAUGUUUACCUAUCAUGAUCUUGUAGUUUUUAUUUUCAUUUUGUUCUCUUUUCUCUGAGGAAAAGCUUGUUCUUUUGCUACCGUUUUCCUGGCUGGCCGCAUUGGGCACUUAUUAAGAUGAAAUUGAACUUGUUCAUGUUAUUCAUUGUGUGAAAUAAUAAAUGAGUUUAUUGAAAGCUGA